rnacentral:rRNA from 1 species
GUGGGGAAUUUUGCGCAAUGGGCGAAAGCCUGACGCAGCAACGCCGCGUGGAGGAUGAAGGCCUUCGGGUCGUAAACUCCUGUCAGGGGGGACGAAACGCCCAGCAAUGGGCAUUGACUGUACCCUCUGAGGAAGCCACGGCUAACUCCGUGCCAGCAGCCGCGGUAAUACGGAGGUGGCAAGCGUUGUUCGGAAUUACUGGGCGUAAAGGGCGCGUAGGCGGCAAGGCAAGUCAGGUGUGAAAGCCCCGAGCUUAACUCGGGAAUUGCAUCUGAAACUGCUGUGCUUGAGUUCUGGAGGGGGUAGUGGAAUUCCCAGUGUAGCGGUGAAAUGCGUAGAUAUUGGGAGGAACACCUGCGGCGAAGGCGGCUACCUGGACAGAAACUGACGCUGAGGCGCGAAAGCUAGGGGAGCGAACGGGAUUAGAUACCCCGGUAGUCC